rnacentral:rRNA from 1 species
AGGUUAAGCUAUAAAGAGCACAGGGCGGAUGCCUAGGCACUGAGAGCCGACGAAGGACGUGACAAGCUGCGAUAAGCUGCGGGGAGAAGCAAAUAUUCUGUGAGCCGCAGAUUUCCGAAUGGGGGAACCCACGUGAGCAAACCUCACGUAUCCAUACGCCAAUCCAUAACGUAUGGAAGGGAACCCGGGGAACUGAAACAUCUAAGUACCCGGAGGAAGAGAAAGAAACAUCGAUUUCCUUAGUAGCGGCGAGCGAAAGGGAAAGAGCCCAAACCGCGGGAUUUAUCCUGCGGGGUUAGGACUGCAUAAUUGAUUCGGGAUUGAUAGGAGAACGGUCUGGGAAGUCCGGCGAAAAAGCGUGAAAGCCGCGUAUCCGAAAU